rnacentral:rRNA from 1 species
AGAGAACGCUGGCGGUAGGCCUAACACAUGCAAGUCGAACGGCAGCACAGUAAGAGCUUGCUCUUACGGGUGGCGAGUGGCGGACGGGUGAGGAAUACAUCGGAAUCUACUUUUUCGUGGGGGAUAACGUAGGGAAACUUACGCUAAUACCACAUACGACCUACGGGUGAAAGCAGGGGAUCUUCGGACCUUGCGCGAUUGAAUGAGCCGAUGUCGGAUUAGCUAGUUGGCGGGGUAAAGGCCCACCAAGGCGACGAUCCGUAGCUGGUCUGAGAGGAUGAUCAGCCACACUGGAACUGAGACACGGUCCAGACUCCUACGGGAGGCAGCAGUGGGGAAUAUUGGACAAUGGGCGCAAGCCUGAUCCAGCCAUACCGCGUGGGUGAAGAAGGCCUUCGGGUUGUAAAGCCCUUUUGUUGGGAAAGAAAAGCAGCAGGUUAAUACCCCGCUGUUCUGACGGUACCCAAAGAAUAAGCACCGGCUAACUUCGUG